GGACAGUUUGGGACACUGAACCCAGCUUUUCGAAUUAAUCUGUGUCCUCCCACUCCAGAGAUGUACUGGACAAACACAGUGAAAACCAGAACUUUUAAUUCAUAAGAUUAGUUUAGAGUUAUCUCCCUUUGACUCCUCUUGUAUUGUAGAACACAACAUAUGAAGAGGAGAGACAUGUCUUUAUGUUGGUGAUCGCAACUAUCAAUGACAUCCAGGCACAUCACUCUCCUGUCCUCAUCAUCCAGAGAUUUAUCCGCGGAUUUCUGACCCGUAAAAGACUUGGACAUACUAUCAAAAAGCCAAAGACAGCAUCAGGGCUUCAACUUCCCAACAUCAACCAAGAGUCCCACAUUCCCCCUCCCCCAAGCUCCUCCCCGGAUCUGUCCCAUGCCAUCCUUCAGGACUCCAGUUACACCAAUCUGGAACUGGAUCUGUUCCCAAGGACCAGGCCCGAGUCAUCAGCCCCUAGUGAAAGCUUGACCACCACAAAUUCAUUCAUUAGAGAGCCGCCCAUGUCCCCAAGUGAUGCACUGACGCCUGUACCACAGGAUGCAGAUGUUCCAAAAAAGAGAAAGAAUCUUCUGAUCAAUCUUGCCAAACUUCAGAGUGGUACAUUCUCUACUUUGUAUGAUGAAGCCAUAGCCAUAGAGACAAUAUUACCUGACUCCUCAUAUGAUAAGAUAGGAUCAGCCAGGCUAGAGACACGACGCAGCAGGAGGAGAAAAAAGAAGGAACCACAGCGAAGAAUAGUGAAGAGUGUGAAGCAGUUCUUUGGUCCUGUGGUGGAGUCGGAGAAGAUUGAAGACGUGGCUGCAGAGGUCCCUGGUGAGGAGAUCCCGAUCACAGAGUAUCGCUUGAGGGGAAUGAAGCCAGAAAUCUCAUUUAUUGAUGCAACAACUGAAAUGAUCCUAGAGAAACAAGAAGCAGGUAGGCUGAUCAGAGAUGCAGAGGAUGUCAUUCAUAUCCGCGCCAGAGAUGCUCCAAAGCCAAAAGUAACUCCUCGUAAAGCAGUCACAACGGAUCAGCGGAUAUUUUCUAGAGUGCACGGAACUAUGGGUAUAUCCAGUUUAUUGGCAGUUCAUCAAGCUUACAAGGACAGAGAGAAGGCUGAGCAAGCUGCUGCCAAGAUGGAACACAUUUUAAACCUGAGGGAUGAAAGAGAUCGAGCAAAGGAGAGGAUCCGCCUGUUUCAGGAUGAGAAGAGAAACCAGGCUUUGAAGAAGAGGGAUCAAGAGAAAGCUAGGAUGUUGGAUGCUCUGGAGCAGAGAGAGAUGAAGAGACUGAGUUAUCUGGACAGAAGGCAGGAUUUCAAGGCCAAAUCUUCAGAUAUGACUCGCUCAGUAAAAGCUGAUUUCACAUUCAUCACCGAGUUCAGUAAUCAGCAUACUUCAGUGUCCAAUGCACUGAUGCGCCAUGACAAACAAGCCAAACAAGAGGACAUGUUCAAUCAGAAGUCAGAGGUUGUGAUGGGUCAUAGGUCAACAAAGGUUGAGCAGCAAGAUGUGGUAAAGAAAUACUUGGAGCAUCGACAGUUGAUGAGACAGACUGAGUCUGCCAUGGCUAAGAAUGCUCUGGAUGCCAGAAUGCUGCAGGAGGCCAAUGAUCGGCUGAUGGAGGCGAAACAGAGAGUGGCUCAGCAGAAGGCCAGAAGAGAAACGGUGCAGGCCUUCUACCCUCUCCCACAGACGGUCAAUCCAGCCCCGGCUACCCCCAACACACGGAACUUACCUCCCCCCACGGCCCAGUCUCUCCCAACCACCCCAGCAGCUGGGGCCAGUCAUUUCGAGGCCAACGUGAUAGUGUCUCAGGGUCGCCUUGGAAAACACCCAACCCUCGUCACACAGUUUGAAAUAAUUGCAGUCCUACUAUAUAGUUGGAUGCCAGAAUUCAAUCAGUAGACAGCCAAUGUGACAGUUUUUGUACCCAAUCCAGUGCCAAAGUCUCCAAUGUUCAGCAUUUAAUGAGCUGGUUUGCUCAGUGUUAUGUGGACCAUUUAGUUGCUGCAGUCAGAUGUAUGUGUUAUAGAAUGCUGAAUGGGGUCUGUUUGUACAACAAUACAUGUAACAGCAUUACUUACAGCCAACAAUUCCAAGUUUGUAUUGAACUGCUUUCAUCCUGUGAACAUUUUCUGUUUUGUCUUGCAAAGAUAUGAAAAUCAUAGCUUUUUGAGUCGAUCAUUGAUUUAACUACUGUUUGUUUUGUAUUUUUGAUAACGAGACUACUUUUCUCCAUCGGAAGGUUGUGACAUCGUGCUGAGGUGUGCGAGUUACCUCCAUCUUUGAACACUCUGCCAUCAUCUGUUUCAGCUCUCUGUGAUAUUAUGUGUUGUGAUUAUUCCUUCUGUUGUGUUUUUGUUUAAUCAUUAUUAAUGUCUCAAUUCUUACACAAUUUAAAAUAAAAUGAAAAAAACUUU
rnacentral:misc_RNA from 1 species